AGAGGUGAGGGCGGCCUGGCAUCUGGCUGUAGCAUCUGUCACCCCAUUAAUCCACAGUGUUGAUUCGGCUGCUCUGACUGGCUUGGUAGGUCUCCCUCCCUCUCUCACUACUACACACACACACACACACACACACACACACACACACACACACACCAGAACAACUGAGGGCCAGCCUUCAGUGAACCAUAUACACAGAGCUGCACUCUGCUGCUAGAACCGCCAGACGAGUGCUCAGAAUACGUUCUGAAAUUCAGCCUUAUUUUAACGCUUCGACUUCAGUGUGUUUCUGGCAAAUUUACUUUGUGU
rnacentral:snRNA from 1 species